UAAUGACAGAUCACACUAAACUAAAUAGACCUAAAUUAAAAGGGGAAUUAGGUUAAAAAUGUGACCAUUGGAAUGAACUCAGACCUUCACAAACGCACACGACGAUGGCGCGACGUCAAAAUUGGUUUCUCCUCCGAACGAAACUCUUCCAUCUCCGUCUCUACUUUCGAUCUCUCCGUCGUGAAUUUGAAUUUAUCUACCUCGCUCUCUUGCCUCAUCUCUAACGAACAAUCUUGAAGGAUGAACAAUUGAAGAUGAUGUCUACGACGACUCGAAUGAUGAAUCGGUGAUGAGAAGCGGUUGAUGUCGGCAUCGGAAUUCCUCCGUUCUUUAGCCACGUCUCAGAUAUCUCUUAUUUCUUUUUCUCUUUUCAUAUCCUAUGCAAUCUCCUUUUACUUGUUUCUGAUUCUUGUGCGAACUUUGUGUUAUUGAUGAUAGUCAAUGUUAUAAAUGCUUGCCGUGCUGAUGGUGUUGACGCUUCGCUUGAAGUGGAUGUUGAACUGCGAACGUGAUGAGCGUUGCUGCGAACCAACACCGUUGAAGGUUCAACGACGAGUAUGCGUUUGAGAGUGUUAGUGGUUCGAUGGAUAAGAUGAUGUAAUCCUGCAGAAUCUUUGGUGAGUUCUUGAAGAUUGAAGGUGAUGGAUCGAGGGAGCUUGAAGGUUGUGAGAGGGAGGAAUUGGAGAUUUCUGCGAUUGAAUCUUGGAGAGGUGAAGAAGAUGUAUCCAGAAAGAGAAAGAUGAAGGUUCUGAGGUUUUCUACUGCCCAGUUUCGGUUCUUUCGGCCAGUUAACUUCAAUCACAGGAUCACCUCGGUUCAGUUCCCCUUUUUGCUGCAGCAGGCCUUUGGGCAUUAGAACAAUAGGCCUUCUUUUGUUGUAAUUUCUUUGUAAUGGAUAAUCAUGUAUAUGGAUUGGACUUGAACUUGUAAUUGCCUUUGAAUGAAUGUUUGAAUGUAAUCUUGUAAAUUUCUCUUGUAAAAACCUUGAAUUUAUCUCUUGGACUUA